ensembl:lncRNA
GUUCUGAAUGUGUCCACCCCAGUUUCUUGCCAACAGACAUUUUGUCCUUUUUCACCCCUUUUUCCCCCUUUGCUGCCAUAGCUCAGGUUGUGUCAGGUGUUGCUCACCUCUUGCUGGCUCUCUGUCCUGUCCUGGAGGGGGGCUGCACAUCAGGUGGGAUGAUGAACUUGAGAUGCUCCCACUCCAGGACUGUCCCUCUGCUGCAGCCAUAAGGAGAAGGGAGAAGCUGGAGGAUAGUGCACUUGAGGCUGGAAUGGACGGAGAGGCUUUAAAGGAGGGUGAGAAGUGUGGCUGCCCUUCCCAAGGAGGCAGAGUGGAUAUGGGGUGGGUAUGUGACACUGCUUUGUCACCGUCACCUGGAAUGGUUCCUGUCCUGGAGCUGUGUCCUUAUUUCAGGCAUGCAGGAAACCACCACCUGUGACCGCCUCAUUCACUGCCCAGCUCUGAAGGAUUCAAGCACCGGGUCCACACCGAGCAGAGCUCCAGCUUCAAAUCCAGUGAGGCUCAGCUCCUUGCGACUCCCAGCAGGAGCAGCAGGCUGGAGAAGACCUUCAAGAUCAUCAAUUCCAACCAACAACCUGACCUACUGGAUAACAUAUCAUAGAUUCAUUAAGGUGGGAAAAAAUCCUUUAAGAUCAUCAGCUCCAACCACUGACCUGACCUUCGGGGUAACACAUCCCAUAUAUUCAUCCAGUUUGAAAAAGACCUUCGAGAGCCUCUCGGUAUUUCUACAUUCCCUCCUUGCAACCCAUCCACCCAUCCCAUGGGGCCUCGGCCCUCAGGAAUGCUGUGCCCCUAAUGAGGGGCAGUGAGCACACGCUGUCAUCCCCCACGCACCACAUUUCCAUUUGAAAAAGGCAGC